rnacentral:tRNA from 1 species
GGGCGUGUGGCGUGGUUGGUGGCGCGUCUGCCUUGCAAGCAGAAGGCCGUUCGACUUCGGUCUCGUCCA